GUGAGGAAUUUUCCACAAUGGGCGAAAGCCUGACGGAGCAAUGCCGCGUGAAGGAUGAAGGCCUAUGGGUUGUAAACUCCUUUUCUCAGAAAAGAAUUAUGACGGUAUCUGAGGAAUAAGCAUCGGCUAACUCUGUGCCAGCAGCCGCGGUAAGACAGAGGAUGCAAGCGUUAUCCGGAAUGAUUGGGCGUAAAGCGUCUGUAGGUUGUUUAAAAAGUAUUCUGUCAAAGAUUAGGGCUUAACCCUAGAUAGGCAGAAUAAACUUUUAAGCUAGAGUUUGGUAGAGGCAGAGGGAAUUCCCGGUGGAGCGGUGAAAUGCGUAGAUAUCGGGAGGAACACCAAAGGCGAAGGCACUCUGCUGGGCCAAUACUAACACUGAGAGACGAAAGCGAGGGGAGCAAAUGGGAUUAGAAACCCCGGUAGUCC
rnacentral:rRNA from 1 species